UACGUAGGGGGCGAGCGUUGUCCGGAGUUACUGGGCGUAAAGCGCACGCAGGCGGUCUGCUAAGUUUGGAGUGACAGUUGGUGGCUUAACUGCCAAAGUGCUUCGAAAACUGACAGACUUGAGGGCUUCAGAGGGACACGGAAUUCCGGGUGGAGUGGUGAAAUGCGUAGAGAUCCGGAGGAACACCAGUGGCGAAGGCGGCCGCCUGGACCUGACCUGACGCUGAGGCGCGAAGGCGCGGGGAGCGAACGGG
rnacentral:rRNA from 1 species